UGGGCGUAAAGCGCGCGCAGGCGGGCUAAUAAGUUGGAUGUGAAAGCCUACGGCUCAACCGUAGAACUGCAUCCAAAACUGUUAGUCUAGAGUCUGGGAGGGGAAGAUGGAAUUAGUUGUGUAGGGGUAAAAUCCGUAGAGAUAACUAGGAAUACCAAAAGCGAAGGCGAUCUUCUGGAACAGUACUGACGCUGAGGCGCGAAAGCGUGGGGAGCAAACAGGAUUAGAUGCCCUGGUAGUCCACGCCCUAAACGAUGAAUGUUAGUCGUCGGGAUGCAAGUCAUUUCGGUGAUGCAGUUAACACAUUAAACAUUCCGCCUGGGGAGUACGGUCGCAAGAUUAAAACUCAAAGGAAUAGACGGGGACCCGCACAAGUGGUGGAGCAUGUGGUUUAAUUCGAAGAUACGCGAAGAACCUUACCUAGCCUUGACAUUGAUAGAACACAGUAGAGAUACAGUGGUGCCCUUCGGGGAGCUUGAAAACAGGUGCUGCACGGCUGUCGUCAGCUCGUGUCGUGAGAUGUUGGGUUAAGUCCCGCAACGAGCGCAACCCUCGUCACUAGUUACUAACGGUUCGGCCGAGGACUCUAGUGAGACUGCCUUCGUAAGGAGGAGGAAGGUGAGGACGACGUCAAGUCAUCAUGGCCCUUACGGCUAGGGCGACACACGUGCUACAAUGGGGAGGACAGUGAGACGCAAUACCGCGAGGUGGAGCAAAUCUAUAAACCUUCUCUCAGUUCGGAUUGUUCUCUGCAACUCGAGAACAUGAAGCUGGAAUCACUAGUAAUCGUAGAUCAGCCAUGCUACGGUGAAUACGUUCCCGGGUCUUGUACUCACCGCCCGUCACACCAUGGGAG
rnacentral:rRNA from 1 species